rnacentral:rRNA from 1 species
GACGAACGCUGGCGGCGUGCUUAACACAUGCAAGUCGAACGGUGAAAGCGGAGCUUGCUCCGCUGGAUCAGUGGCGAACGGGUGAGUAACACGUGAGUAACCUGCCCUUGACUCUGGGAUAACUGCGGGAAACUGUAGCUAAUACCGGAUACGACCCUCGGAGGCAUCUCCUGGGGGUGGAAAGAAUUUCGGUCAAGGAUGGACUCGCGGCCUAUCAGCUAGUUGGUGAGGUAAAGGCUCACCAAGGCGACGACGGGUAGCCGGCCUGAGAGGGUGACCGGCCACACUGGGACUGAGACACGGCCCAGACUCCUACGGGAGGCAGCAGUGGGGAAUAUUGCACAAUGGCCGCAAGCCUGAUGCAGCAACGCCGCGUGAGGGAUGACGGCCUUCGGGUUGUAAACCUCUUUUAGCAGGGAAGAAGCGAAAGUGACGGUACCUGCAGAAAAAGCACCGGCUAACUACGUGCCAGCCGCCGCCGUAA